CCUUUUUCUUUUCCAGUGGCAAGAUAGCGAGGGAGCGCGAGCGCUCGAGAGAAGAGUGGGGAGGGAGAGCGAAGCCGAGAUCUCGAGGUAUUUAAACCUCGUCUAGAAUCCUCGCUUAAAUCUUUCUUCCCAUUUCCUUCGAUUUUCUUCUCCUUUUGGAGAAGGUUUGGCGAUCGAUCGACCUCCGAUCGGUGGCUGGUGGGCAGGGAAUCGAUCAAGUAAGGUGGCGCUAGGGUUUUUUUGGGGGAAGGAAUGAUGCUCUCUCUGCAGAGCGAUGAGCGGCAGCAUCAGAAGCAGCAGGCAGCGGCAGCGGUGGUGGCGCCGGCGCCUCCACCAUCGCAGAUGUUCGGAUCGGGCAGGGCUGGGGUGCUAGUGUUUCAUGGGGGGCCGUUCGGGAACGGGGAGCUCGAGGACCCGUCGUUCCUUCUGCAGCCACUUGAUGCGUCGGGCGAUGUCAAGGCCUUGCCUCCUCCAAAGCGUCGUGAAGGUGAGGAGGACACAUACCUGGCUCUCGCUCAUCAGAAUUAUAAAUCUGGGAACUACAAACAGGCUUUGGAGCAUAGUAAUGCUGUUUAUGGAAAGAACCCACGGCGGACUGAUAAUCUUCUUCUCCUUGGUGCAAUCUACUACCAGCUGCACGAUUUUGAAAUGUGCAUUGCAAAGAACAAGGAAGCUCUUGCUAUUGAUCCACACUUUGCAGAGUGCUAUGGAAACAUGGCCAAUGCUUGGAAGGAGAAAGGCAAUGUUGAUCUUGCUAUUCGUUACUAUUUAAUUGCUAUUGAGCUUCGGCCUAAUUUCUGUGAUGCAUGGUCAAAUUUGGCAAGUGCUUACACAAGGAAAGGAAGACUGAAUGAGGCUAUUCAGUGCUGUCGCCAGGCUCUUGCCCUGAAUCCUCAUUCGGUUGAUGCUCAUAGUAACCUUGGAAAUCUAAUGAAAGCCCAAGGUUUAGUUCAAGAGGCAUAUAAUUGCUACCUUGAGGCCCUGCGCAUACAACCUAAUUUUGCAAUUGCUUGGUCCAAUCUUGCUGGGCUUUUUAUGGAGGCUGGGGAUCUUAACAGAGCCCUUUUGUAUUAUAAGGAAGCUGUUAAAUUCAAGCCAUCUUUUGCUGAUGCCUAUCUGAAUCAAGGGAAUGUCUACAAGGCUCUGGGCAUGCCUCAAGAGGCUAUAAUGUGCUACCAGCGUGCUCUUCAGGUACAUCCAGACUAUGCCAUGGCAUAUGCAAAUCUUGCUAGUACAUACUAUGAACAAGGCCAGCUGGAUUUGGCGAUACUUUACUACACUCGGGCUAUAACUUGUGAUCCACGGUUUGUGGAGGCAUUUAAUAAUCUGGGAAACUCUCUGAAAGAUGCUGGUCGAGUGGAAGAAGCUAUCAGUUGUUAUCAGUCAUGCCUUCAACUCCAACCCAACCACCCACAGGCUCUUACAAAUCUUGGAAAUAUAUACAUGGAAUGGAACAUGAUAGGUACAGCAGCUUCAUUCUACAAGGCAACAUUAGCUGUAACAACUGGUUUAUCUGCUCCUUUCAGUAAUUUAGCAGUAAUAUACAAACAACAGGGAAGUUAUGCCGAUGCUAUAGCUUGUUACAAUGAAGUUCUCCGCAUAGAUCCUAUGGCAGCUGAUGGGCUGGUGAACAGGGGGAACACUUUCAAGGAGAUUGGCAGAGUUAGUGAGGCCAUUCACGAUUACAUUCAGGCUGUCACAGUCAGACCAACUAUGGCUGAAGCUCAUGCAAAUUUAGCUUCAGCUUACAAGGAUAGUGGACAUGUAGAAGCAGCUAUAAAGAGUUAUAAACAGGCACUGCUUCUACGUCCAGAGUUUCCAGAGGCAACUUGUAAUCUUCUCCACACGUUACAGUGCCUCUGUGAUUGGGACAAUCGGGAGAGCAAGUUUGUUGAAGUUGAAGGAAUCAUUAGAAGGCAGAUAAAGAUGUCAGUUCUUCCAAGUGUGCAACCAUUUCACGCUAUUGCAUAUCCAAUUGAUCCCAUGCUUGCACUGGAAAUUAGCCGAAAAUAUGCAGCUCAUUGCUCUUUGAUUGCUUCUCGUUAUGGGCUCCCUCCAUUUGCUCAUCCCCCUUGUAUGCCUGUGAAGAGUGAAGGUAGACGUGGACGACUCAGGGUGGGAUAUGUAAGUAGCGACUUUGGUAACCAUCCUCUAUCACAUCUUAUGGGUUCUGUAUUUGGAAUGCAUAACCGAGAAAACAUCGAGGUCUUUUGUUAUGCCUUGAGUCAAAAUGAUGGCAGUGAGUGGAGGCAGCGAAUCCAGUCUGAAGCUGAACAUUUCAUCGAUGUGUCUGCCAUGUCAUCUGAUAUGAUUGCCAGAAUGAUCAAUGAGGAUAAAAUACACAUCUUGAUCAACCUGAAUGGCUACACUAAGGGUGCAAGAAAUGAAAUUUUUGCCAUGCAGCCAGCACCCAUCCAGGUUUCUUACAUGGGGUUCCCAGGAACCACAGGUGCAACAUACAUUGACUACUUGGUCACUGAUGAGUUUGUUUCUCCUACAUGUUUUUCACAUAUCUAUUCAGAAAAGCUUGUGCAUCUGCCCCAUUGUUACUUCGUGAAUGAUUAUAAGCAGAAAAAUCGUAAUGUUCUGGAUUCAGCCUGUCCGCAUAGCCGUUCAGAUUAUGGACUGCCGGAAGAUAAAUUUAUCUUUGCAUGCUUUAAUCAGCUGUACAAGAUGGACCCUGAAAUAUUUAAUACUUGGUGCAACAUUCUCAAGCGUGUUCCAAAUAGUGCACUAUGGCUGCUACGAUUUCCUGCAGCUGGUGAGAUGAGACUUCGAGCAUAUGCUGUUGCACAAGGAGUGAGACCAGAUCAGAUCAUAUUCACAGAUGUUGCUAUGAAGAACGAACACAUCAGACGCAGUGCUUUAGCGGAUCUUUUUCUCGAUACGCCUCUAUGUAAUGCGCACACAACAGGUACAGAUAUAUUAUGGGCUGGUUUGCCAAUGAUAACACUACCACUAGAAAAAAUGGCCACCAGGGUGGCUGGUUCACUGUGUCUAGCCACUGGAGUUGGGGAAGAGAUGAUCGUAAGCAGCAUGAAAGAUUAUGAAGACAAGGCGGUUGCUUUGGCUCAAAACCCUUCAAAACUUGAAGCAUUAACCAAUAAGUUGAAGAAAGCUAGGAUGACCUGCCCUUUGUUUGACACCAGAAGAUGGGUUCGGAAUCUGGAGAGAGCAUACUUUAAAAUGUGGAAUUUGCAUUGCUCUGGUCAACAUCCACAACCCUUUAAAGUGACAGAGAAUGAUAAUGAGUUCCCAUGUGACAGAUAGGUGGCGGCGGCUUUGUAAAUAAAGCUAGGGUUGCAACAUACCAUAGGAAAAUGGUGUUAUGAUUGGUUAUCCAAAUGAUGCACGGGGCUGUAUUUGAUAAGCCCUUGUUUGGAAGGAGAUAAAGAGGUCUCCAUUGAAUUCAAAUACCAUGCUGUCUGUGCCCGGAUAUGAUCUAGGUAUAUGGUGUAUUGUUAAAGAUAAAUUGGCUGAUUUGGUAGUUUCUGGAUGAGCAUGUUAAUGUGGUUCCCAUCUGGCGGGCUUGAUGUCGAUUGUGAAAGUUCUCCAUGACUUGGUGGUCGGCAUUUGCCUUGCUGGCUAAAAUAUUUUUAAGGCAGACAUGGUGAUUCGCGGCAUUGAGAAGAGGUUUCAUGAUACAAGCAUUAAAUAAUUUUGCAAGCAAUUUGUGCAACGUCUGCCAGUUGAAGCUUUUUCACUAUUGAUUUUGAAAUUAUGGGAUCGGGUCUCAGCUCUCGUUUUGGUGUGAAGUGGUUUACUGUCGAUCUGAAUUGCAAACCACUGUGAUGGAAGGUUGUCAGAAUUGCUUCAAAUCGGGGAAGAAAAUGUUUUGCGGCUUGGUGAGGCAAAAAUUCUAUGAACUCUGGAUCCUGUUAGCAAACUGUGCUUGCCAGUGCUUCAAGACUGUAUAGAGUACCAAGGCUGCACUGCUAGGAUCGAAGCAGCAUUAUGUUUGUUGCUGGUCUGGAAAUUGCUGUUUUGGAGUUUUUGCAGCAACGCUGGGACUUUGAUCUCAUUCAGCCUAUCACUUAGGAUGGUCCUAAAGUUUCUCCAGGUCAGACUGGGGGAGGGAUCCUCUGGAAUCCCUUGAAUUUAUUUUUUAUUAGUGAUCCAGCAAGCCCGGGACAACUGGGAGACCAUGGAAAACAAUCAAAGAUGGUAAUGGGCAAAUGGGAAAAGGAAGAUGAUAUUAUGAAUGAUUAGAUUCCUAUAGUGUUAGGUUUGUUGGUCCACCUUGGAGGUGAUCAGAUAGAACGGCAGUUUUUGCCAGUAAGUCGAAGCAACAGCCGAGGUAGAAUUUGUCUUAGUUGUUGAGAUCUGGCUCAAUUUUUUAGUGUCUUGACCUGCACAGUUGGUGGGGGGAGUCCAGGAGCUGGCUCCAGACCCCGUGAGCCGGGAGGGGCCUUUGGUCAUCUUGGGCUUCUCGAGAAGCUGAAAUGUAAUUAGAUUUUGCACUGCUACCAAAAAUGAAUAAUGAAAAAGAAUACAAAUUCCAUGGUAAGUGGAAUAUGGAAUAUGGUGAUUAGGAGGUGGCGCGGUACCUUGGCAUUCAAGAUAAGGUGCGAUUAUCUAGCCUGGAAACUUCUGUAGCCUUAUGGUUAUCGAAGCAUGUUGUGUGGCAUCUGUGGUUAGGGGAACGAUGCGAGUAUUGCUUGCUGAUAAAGUGAAUGCACCCAAUUUGUCCAUAGUGUGAGAAAUAGUGGGAAUACAACUUCCAUUGUUUACAGUGCUGUUCAAUUUAUGCCGAUUUGUGUUGAGGUUGUGGCACAUUCAUAUUUGGAUUUUAA